rnacentral:misc_RNA from 1 species
UUGAAUUUUAAUGAAGAGUUUGGUUGUAGCUGGCCCAUUCAUUUGGGCAUGUGCACACCUUCCUCUUUCAUCCCACACACACCUGUGAACCUGUGAGACAGAGAUGGGGAAUUUACUUGCUGCUUUUUGGAAUACAAAGGCAAUAGGUUAUUGGACCCCCCCUCUGUCUACUCAAUUAAUAUAAACUCAAUUUAUUUUAAAACGAAUGUAAUGGAUGUAACACAUCCCAUAC